rnacentral:rRNA from 1 species
AACGAACGCUGGCGGCGUGCCUAACACAUGCAAGUCGAGCGAGAAAACCCGUAAGGGUGAGUAAAGCGGCGCACGGGUGCGUAACACGUGGGUAAUCUGCCCUGGAGUCCGGAAUAACUCGCCGAAAGGCGUGUUAAUGCCGGAUGAGACCACGGGAGCUUCGGCUCCUGCGGAAAAAGGUGGCUUUUGUAUACAAGCUAUCACUCCAGGAUGAGCCCGCGGCCCAUCAGCUAGUUGGCGGGGUAAUGGCCCACCAAGGCAACGACGGGUAGCUGGUCUGAGAGGACGAUCAGCCACACUGGAACUGAGACAUGGUCCAGACUCCUACGGGAGGCAGCAGUGGGAAUCUUGCGCAAUGGGCGAAAGCCUGACGCAGCAACGCCGCGUGUGUGAUGAAGGUCUUCGGAUCGUAAAGCACUGUCGCGAGGGACGAAUAAGGGCCGGGUGAAUAAUCCGGUCCGAUGACGGUACCUCGAGAGGAAGCACCGGCUAACCCUGUGCCAGCAGCCGCGGUAAUACAGAGGGUGCGAGCGUUGUUCGGAAUUAUUGGGCGUAAAGCGCGUGUAGGCGGCUUUGUAAGUCAGGUGUGAAAGCCCUCGGUUUAACCGAGGAAGUGCGCCUGAAACUACAUGGCUUGAGUACCGGAGAGGGCGGUGGAAUUCCCGGUGUAGAGGUGAAAUUCGUAGAUAUCGGGAGGAACACCAGUGGCGAAGGCGACCGCCUGGACGGCUACUGACGCUGAGACGCGAAAGCGUGGGGAGUAAACAGGAUUAGAUACCCUGGUAGUCCACGCUGUAAACGAUGAGCGCUAGGUGUUGUGGGUGUUGACCCCCGCAGUGCCGCAGCUAACGCAUUAAGCGCUCCGCCUGGGAAGUACGGCCGCAAGGCUA